rnacentral:rRNA from 1 species
GGUUAAGCGACUAAGCGUACACGGUGGAUGCCCUGGCAGUCAGAGGCGAUGAAGGGCGUGCUAAUCUGCGAUAAGCGCCGGUAAGGUGAUAUGAACCGUUAUAACCGGCGAUACCCGAAUGGGGAAACCCAGUGUGAUUCGUCACACUAUCAUUAACUGAAUCCAUAGGUUAAUGAGGCGAACCGGGGGAACUGAAACAUCUAAGUACCCCGAGGAAAAGAAAUCAACCGAGAUUCCCCCAGUAGCGGCGAGCGAACGGGGAGGAGCCCAGAGCCUGAAUCAGCAUGUGUGUUAGUGGAAGCGUCUGGAAAGGCGCGCGAUACAGGGUGACAGCCCCGUACACAAAAGCGCAUGUGCUGUGAGCUCGAUGAGUAGGGCGGGACACGUGGUAUCCUGUCUGAAUAUGGGGGGACCAUCCUCCAAGGCUAAAUACUCCUGACUGACCGAUAGUGAACCAGUACCGUGAGGGAAAGGCGAAAAGAACCCCGGCGAGGGGAGUGAAAAAGAACCUGAAACCGUGUACGUACAAGCAGUGGGAGCACCCUUUGGGGUGUGACUGCGUACCUUUUGUAUAAUGGGUCAGCGACUUAUAUUCUGUAGCAAGGUUAACCGUAUAGGGGAGCCGGAGGGAAACCGAGUCUUAACCGGGCGUUAAGUUGCAGGGUAUAGACCCGAAACCCGGUGAUCUAGCCAUGGGCAGGUUGAAGGUUGGGUAACACUAACUGGAGGACCGAACCGACUAAUGUUGAAAAAUUAGCGGAUGACCUGUGGCUGGGGGUGAAAGGCCAAUCAAACCGGGAGAUAGCUGGUUCUCCCCGAAAGCUAUUUAGGUAGCGCCUCGUGAAUUCAUCUCCGGGGGUAGAGCACUGUUUCGGCUAGGGGGCCAUCCCGGCUUACCAACCCGAUGCAAACUGCGAAUACCGGAGAAUGUUAUCACGGGAGACACACGGCGGGUGCUAACGUCCGUCGUGAAGAGGGAAACAACCCAGACCGCCAGCUAAGGUCCCAAAGUCAUGGUUAAGUGGGAAACGAUGUGGGAAGGCCCAGACAGCCAGGAUGUUGGCUUAGAAGCAGCCAUCAUUUAAAGAAAGCGUAAUAGCUCACUGGUCGAGUCGGCCUGCGCGGAAGAUGUAACGGGGCUAAACCAUGCACCGAAGCUGCGGCAGCGACGCUGAUGCGUUGUUGGGUAGGGGAGCGUUCUGUAAGCCUGCGAAGGUGGCCUGUGAGGGUUGCUGGAGGUAUCAGAAGUGCGAAUGCUGACAUAAGUAACGAUAAAGCGGGUGAAAAGCCCGCUCGCCGGAAGACCAAGGGUUCCUGUCCAACGUUAAUCGGGGCAGGGUGAGUCGACCCCUAAGGCGAGGCCGAAAGGCGUAGUCGAUGGGAAACGGGUUAAUAUUCCCGUACUUGGUGUUACUGCGAAGGGGGGACGGAGAAGGCUAUGUUGGCCGGGCGACGGUUGUCCCGGUUUAAGCGUGUAGGCUGGUUUUCCAGGCAAAUCCGGAAAAUCAAGGCUGAGGCGUAA